UAUUUUCUGCGUCUGUCAACACAGACACUGCACGUCAGUCACUUUAAUGUUAGCGGACUCUGUUGAAUGGCUAAGUUACAUAACCACAAACAAAUCUCACAAUAUCACAGUAAAUCGAGUUUGUGGGUUUUUUUUAAUUCAUGCCGAAUUAAAGAGCUGCUCCUCACCAUUCACGAGUGUUUGUUUCAUAUUCGACAUCCUUGACUUUAUCUUGUAAAUUAGCGUCCGAAAUUAAAUGGGAACAUUUGCAAUGGAGUUCGUCAGCCGCUUCCACCACUGAACGCGGUAAACUAAUUAAUAGGAACUGGACUUCAAACAAUUUAGACACGGCGUCUAAAAGCGUAAAAACUGCAAUAUCUAAAGUGUGAGAGGAGACGGUGUAUUUUUGGUUAAAUUACACAAUGUUCGCCGUCAAAGUCAUUCAUAUAAACUGCCUGUAAUGUGCAGCAAAUAGUAGUUAACUGGCGCCAGCUCUUCAGUGACCUUAACGGGUCCGUACCUCUAGUACAGAUGCUACGGGUACGGGUCCGUACCCGUAGCAUCAACCGAUUCGAAAUGUUUUUAUGGGACAGCGAUACGUUGAACGAACCAAUCACGUGAUCUGCACAAACCGAGGCCUCGUUUGUCAUCGGUCACGUGACUUUUUCAGAAGCGACCCAAGCCUCGAAGCGAAGCUUCAUCUGAUACGCCCACUUUUACUCGAGACACGCCUCGAUGCCUCGGUUCAUUUGCCCCAUCACUAGUAAUAAGUGCAGCCUUUUUGUAGCUCUGGAGGCAAGGCUUUCCGAAAUGGAAUAGCGGCUCCGCACCAUGGAAAAUAACCCGCUAGCAGCCUGCCUGCUAGCAGCUUAUCCAGCUAUCCUGGGAAGCCAGGAUGGCUGGGUGACAGUUCGUAGGAAACAUAGUCCUAAACUCAAGCCUGCUGUCCCGGCUCACCACAAACCGCUUCAUGUUUCUAAUCGUUUUUCCCCGCUCAGCGACACACCCGCUGAGAAACCAACUCUGAUCAUUGGCAGCUCCAUAGUCAGAAACGUGAAGCUAGCGACACCAGCGACCAUAGUUAAAUGCCUCCCAGGGGCCAGAGCGGGCGACAUAGAAGCAAAUUUGAAACUGCUGGCUAAAGAUAAUCGUAAAUAUAGUAAGAUUGUUAUUCACGUCGGCGGUAACGACACCCGGUUACGCCAAUCGGAGGUCACCAAAAUUAGCGUGGCAUCGGUGUGUACUUUCGCCAAAACCAUGUCGGACUCCGUAGUUUUCUCUGGACCCUUGCCUGAUCUGACCAGCGAUGACAUGUUUAGCCGCAUGUCGUCGUUUCGCCGCUGGUUGUCUAUGUGGUGUCCAUCAAACGACGUGGGCUUUAUUGAUAAUUGGAGCUCUUUUUGGGGAAAACCUGGUCUGAUUAGGAGAGACGGCAUCCAUCCCACUUUGGCUGGUGCAGCUCUCAUUUCUAGGAAUAUGGCUGAUUUUAUUAGUACUCCUAAAGCAUGACAACCCAGAGUUAGGACCAGGAUGCAGAGCUGUAGUCUUACACACCUCUCUGCAGUUUCCUCACAGCUGUCACCCUCCAGUAAUUCAGUUAACUUUAUUGAGACUGUGUCUGUCCCCCGACCACCAAAAUUCAAUAAAUUAAACAAAUCAAAAAUAUACAAAAGAAAUAGUAACCACAAAAAUUUAAUAAAAAUUAAUACCACUAUUUCAACAGAGCAAAGAAACAGGAAAAUUAAAUGUGGUCUGUUAAAUAUUAGAUCUCUCUCGUCUAAAUCUCUGCUAGUAAAUGAGUUGAUAACUGAUCACCAGAUUGAUUUGUUCUGUUUGACUGAAACCUGGUUGCAGCAGGAAGAAUGUGUUAGUGUGAUCAAGCGGCUCGAGCGGUGGAAGAACAGUGGUACAAAGGCAGGCGGAGGCAACAUUUGAGUGGUCGACUUCUUUUCUUUUUUUCCUUCUUUAUUUUCCAAAUGUGCAAAAAUACAAAAUAUCAAAGUGCAAGUGCAAAAAGUGCAAGUGCGUUGGAGGGUAGGAGCAAUGGCUUCUCCAGCAGCAGAACGCAGAACAACCAGACAGACAAACCGUUUUCCUCGAAUGAGGGGAACAGCCUCCUCUAAUACUGGUCUGCUCAACAGGAAUAAACCAAUAGAACUCUGGAGGUAGAUCACCUUAUCCUUAGCUAUUACCACCUAAGUUAAAAACUCUCCAUCAUAAACCAAAACCCAGAAUAAAGUAAACAAAAAAUAACUAAUGCAAACUAACCCAACUAAACCCACCAAACUUAAUCCAACAACACAAUAUAAAGUUAAAAGUAUUGCAGCCACCCCUUCCGUAUCCCUCCCCUUGGUUCAGCCCGGAACAGUCUUUUGGGCGUCUGGCUCCCUGGGGACUCUUUUGGCCAGACGCACCUGGACACAAGAGGAAACGACCCGGCCGCCGCCAUCACCCAAGGUGACGCCACCGGACCGGACCCACGGCCAACCUCAAUAAAACUGUUUGGUUAAUAAAAUAUUUAAAACCGACAA